rnacentral:rRNA from 1 species
GUAGUCUCGCACAGAUGCAUAUCAAUAAGCGGAGGAAAAGAAACUAACAAGGAUUCCCUUAGUAACGGCGAGUGAAGCGGGAAGAGCUCAAAUUUGAAAUCUUCAAGGUUUUACCUUGACGAAUUGUAGUUUAAAGAAGUGUUUUCUGUUGAAGUUUUGGUAAAAGUUCUUUGGAAUAGGACAUCAUAGAGGGUGAGAAUCCCGUAUUUGACCAUUAUUUUCAGCUGUGUGAUACACUUUCAAAGAGUCGGAUUGUUUGGGAAUGCAGUCCAAAAUGGGUGGUAAAUUUCAUCUAAAGCUAAAUAUUGGCGAGAGACCGAUAGCGAACAAGUACCGUGAGGGAAAGAUGAAAAGAACUUUGAAAAGAGAGUUAAACAGUACGUGAAAUUGUCAAAAGGGAAGCGUUUGUCACCAGUGUUGUUUUCUCGAAAAUCAAUUAAAAAGAGUUUGAUUUUGUUGUGUAUUGACCUUAACAGCUUGCAUUUCAAUUUUCUUGCUUUUUUUAAUGCACUUUUCGUUUAACAAGUCAACAUCAGUUUCUUUUGUUGUAAAAAGGUCAUUGGAAGGUGGCUUUCUUUUCGGAGAAAGUGUUUAUAGCCUUUGACUCCUGCAAUCGGAGAGACUGAGGUCUGCAGCGUAGAUCCUUCGGGGUUAGAUACAUUUGUGCUAAGUUAUAGCUUUUUAUAGACAACUUGUUGACUAUGAUUAGUCUUGUAGCUUACUCGCUUAUGCUAUUUUACCUACGCUUAGGAUGUUGAGCGCAUGUCUCUCUCU